rnacentral:rRNA from 1 species
GUGUACCAGUUGUCUUGCCAAAGGCAUCGCUGGGUAGCUAUGUGCGGAAGGGAUAAGUGCUGAAAGCAUCUAAGCAUGAAGCCCCCCUCGAGAUGAGAUUUCCCAUCACGUAAGUGAGUAAGAUCCCUAGAAGAUGACUAGGUAGAUAGGUCAGAGAUGGAAGCAUGGCGACAUGUGGAGUUGACUGAUACUAAUCGAUCGAGGACUUAACCACAA